GAUCCUGGCUCAGAGCGAACGUUAGCGGCGGGCCUAACACAUGCAAGUCGAGCGAGAAAGAGGGGCAACCCUUGAGUACAGCGGCGGACGGGUGAGCAAUACGUAGGUAACCUGCCUUUCAGUGGGGGACAACAGUUCGAAAGGACUGCUAAUACCGCAUCCGUCACCCGGGACUCUGGUCCUGGGUGGGGAAAGCCGGGGCAACCUGGCGCUGAAAGAGGGGCCUACGUCGCAUCAGCUAGUUGGUGGGGUAAUGGCCCACCAAGGCGAAGACGCGUAGCUGGUCUGAGAGGAUGAUCAGCCACACUGGGACUGAGACACGGCCCAGACUCCUACGGGAGGCAGCAGUGGGGAAUAUUGGACAAUGGGCGCAAGCCUGAUCCAGCCACGCCGCGUGAGUGAUGAAGGCCUUCGGGUCGUAAAGCUCUGUGGGGAGGGACGAACCGCCAGGUAUUAAUACCAUCUGGCAUGACGGUACCUCCUUAGCAAGCACCGGCUAACUUCGUGCCAGCAGCCGCGGUAA
rnacentral:rRNA from 1 species